UCUUUUUCCUUUGAUUUCUUCCUUCGUCACAUGGCGAUUCAGCAAGUCAACCACUAUGCCACAAACUAAGGAACAUAAUUUGGGCAGUUUGUUAAAAUCAAGUGUCUUGACACUUCAGUUAAACUUGUCCAGAUAAAACAGAGCUGCUUCUCUGCUGCUCAGUCUUCUAAGAUCUGGGAGACAGUUUGCUGCAUGUAUUUCUGAAAGAGGAGUAUCUCCCUUUUACUGUUAAGUGUUAUAACGAAGUCAAGUGGAAAAGUCCUAUUUACCAUAUAAUAAAAACCAUCUAUUGUUCACAGCUCUGAAAACAUAAUAAUAAAUAAAACCUUAUAUUUCAGGCUGUGUAAACCAGUUGCUUAUGUAAUAGAACCCGGUGUAAUUUUCCAUUUACAAUUUCAAUACUGUAAUAAGAAAGCAAUCAAAGCAUAAACAAAAUGCACUUUAAAUGGGCCUGCAGGUAAUAUUUCCAUAAUGGCUGUCCUUAACAAUUGCAGCUGUUUCUUUUCUUCCCCCCAGCCUCGAAUUCUUUCUACUUAUCUCCAUCAUUUAAUUAAAAGAAAAUCAACUUAAAACAGAUGGAAGGCCAUCUUACACCAAUUGCAGCUAUGGGCAAAGAAGAAAAAAGACACUAGCAGCGUCAUACACGGUUAACACUCGGGUGGGUUAAAUUAAUGCCAUUUCUCAUCCUCAUUUCAGGAUGAGAUCUGAGGCUCUGCAGAGAGCGUGCUGCAAACCUGCAGGCAAAAGGGGUGUUUUUCUUGGUUCUCUGUCCUGAGGAUCUGGAAGUUCACCAUUUCCCCAGCAUCUGCCAAUGACCUCUUGUCUUGCCGCGAGAUGGGAAGCCAUCUGCUCGUCCAUUGCUUGUAGGAGGCUUAAAAUAACUUGGUGCUGUCCAUCAAGUCUGUGCACAGAUGUUAAACCGUGAGGGCUAAUGAAGGAUGAGCAACCACGUCCACUGAUGGAGUUCACGUCAGCGCAGCGGGACCGGGUUGGCUCUUCCGAAGUCCUGCUGGAGUUCUAAGGAAAGUUGAUGCUGCCUCCUGGGGGUGCCUCAGCCAUGUGCUGAUCCCCAGGGCUCUCGGAUCACACCACCAGCCAGAGCCUGGUCCUCAAACGUGUGUUUUUAAGUCAAGACCCAGUGCUCACCAGUGGCAGGUGAGGAAAUUGUGGUGGAGGGGAAGGAGCCUGGCCUUAGCCUGGGCCUUGGCCACUAGCUCCUGGGUGGAACUGGGAGCAGCUUUUGUAUAUAAACUGAGCUGCUAAUCCGAGGCUCUGAGUUUUCUUUGUCCCUCCAUCUCCAAAUGAACAAACGCAAGAGGACAAGCCAUGUUUCCCUGCCCCUCAGCAGGCAGGCUGCCCACAACCAUCGCUCUCACCUCUCCCAUUCAGAGUGUUCUGAGGUGAAUGAGGAACGUAAAAAGGUUUCUAUGAGGAGAAACCAGUUAUUUGUUACCAGCAGCGGCUGAUCGAGCCCUGGAUGUGGGAGCUGAGGCAGGGCAGCGGGAACGCCACCGACCCGAACCCCCCAUUCCGCUGGGACCGACCCCGGCGGCCGGGCCCACCAUGGCGGGCAGCGACGGCGUCUCCAUGGUGACCGGCGGCCGCGGCCUGCUGCAGGGACAUCACUCCUAUCGCGUUGCCAUG
ensembl:lncRNA